UACGUAGGCAGCAAGCGUUGUUCGGAGUUACUGGGCGUAAAGGGUGCGUAGGCUGCUUUUUAAGUUUGGUGUGAAAUCUCCCGGCUCAACUGGGAGGGUGCGCCGAAUACUGGGAGGCUAGAGUGCGGGAUGGGAGAGUGGAAUUCCCGGUGUAGUGGUGGAAUGCGUAGAUAUCGGGAGGAACACCAGUGGCGAAGGCGGCUUCCUGGACCGGUUCUGACACUGAGGAGCGAAAGCGUGGGGAGCGAUCCGG
rnacentral:rRNA from 1 species